AACAUACUCCCUCCGUCCGGAAUUAUUGUAGGAGAAAUGGUUGUAUCUAGACAUAUUAUAAUUCUAGAUACAUCCAUUUUUGUCCAUUUCUACGACAAGUAUUUCCAGAUGGAGGGUACAAA
rnacentral:pre_miRNA from 1 species